UACGGAGGGUGCGAACGUUAAUCGGAAUUACUGGGCGUAAAGAGCGCGUAGGCUGUUGGGAAAGUCCGGUGUGAAAUCCCUUGGCUCAACCAAGGAAUUGCGCCGGAAACUUCUCAACUCGAGGCCAGGAGAGGGAAGUGGAAUUCCCGGUGUAGCGGUGAAAUGCGUAGAUAUCGCUUGGAACGCCAACGGUGGAAACAGGUUGCUGGGGGUGUGCUGACGCUGAGACACGAAAGCCAGGGGAGCGAACGGG
rnacentral:rRNA from 1 species